rnacentral:rRNA from 1 species
ACGGUUACCUUGUUACGACUUAGCCCCAGUCACCGGUUUUACCUUAGGGCGCUCCUUGCGGUUGCACACUUCAGGCACUCCCGGCUUCCAUGGCUUGACGGGCGGUGUGUACAAGGCCCGGGAACGUAUUCACCGCGCCGUGGCUGAUGCGCGAUUACUAGCGAAUCCAGCUUCAUGGAGUCGGGUUGCAGACUCCAAUCCGAACUGAGACAGGCUUUGAAGUUCCGCUCUGCGUCGCCGCAUCGCUUCUCUCUGUACCUGCCAUUGUAACACGUGUGUCGCCCCGGACGUAAGGGCCGUGCUGAUUUGACGUCAUCCCCGCCUUCCUCACAACUUGCGCCGGCAGUCUCGCCAGAGUCCCCAACUUUACUUGCUGGUAACUGGCGAUGGGGGUUGCGCUCGUUAUGGCACUUAAGCCGACACCUCACGGCACGAGCUGACGACAACCAUGCAGCACCUCGACGGAUGUCCCGUAGGACUGCCUCCUUUCAGAAACAUCCAUCCGUCGUUUGAGCCCGGGUAAGGUUCCUCGCGUAUCAUCGAAUUAAACCACAUGUUCCUCCGCUUGUGCGGGCCCCCGUCAAUUCCUUUGAGUUUCACCGUUGCCGGCGUACU